rnacentral:rRNA from 1 species
GAUGAACGCUAGCGGCAGGCUUAACACAUGCAAGUCGAGGGGUAUAGUAGCAAUACUAGAGACCGGCGCACGGGUGCGUAACGCGUAUGCAAUCUACCUUUUGCAGAGGGAUAGCCCAGAGAAAUUUGGAUUAAUACCUCAUAGUAUUAUAGUAUGGCAUCAUAUUAUAAUUAAAGUCACAACGGCAAAAGAUGAGCAUGCGUCCCAUUAGUUAGUUGGUAAGGUAACGGCUUACCAAGACUACGAUGGGUAGGGGUCCUGAGAGGGAGAUCCCCCACACUGGUACUGAGACACGGACCAGACUCCUACGGGAGGCAGCAGUGAGGAAUAUUGGACAAUGGGCGCAAGCCUGAUCCAGCCAUGCCGCGUGCAGGAUGACGGUCCUAUGGAUUGUAAACUGCUUUUGCACAGGAAGAACAACGCUACGUGUAGCGUCUUGACGGUACUGUGAGAAUAAGGAUCGGCUAACUCCGUGCC